rnacentral:rRNA from 1 species
UCUUACGGGGUGGAGCAGUGGGGAAUAUUGCACAAUGGGCGCAAGCCUGAUGCAGCCAUGCCGCGUGUAUGAAGAAGGCCUUCGGGUUGUAAAGUACUUUCAGCGGGGAGGAAGGCGAUAAGGUUAAUAACCUUGUCGAUUGACGUUACCCGCAGAAGAAGCACCGGCUAACUCCGUGCCAGCAGCCGCGGUAAUACGGAGGGUGCAAGCGUUAAUCGGAAUUACUGGGCGUAAAGCGCACGCAGGCGGUCUGUCAAGUCGGAUGUGAAAUCCCCGGGCUCAACCUGGGAACUGCAUUCGAAACUGGCAGGCUAGAGUCUUGUAGAGGGGGGUAGAAUUCCAGGUGUAGCGGUGAAAUGCGUAGAGAUCUGGAGGAAUACCGGUGGCGAAGGCGGCCCCCUGGACAAAGACUGACGCUCAGGUGCGAAAGCAGUGGGGAGCAAACAGGAUUAGUACCCCCUGGUA